CCUGAUCCAGCCAUGCCGCGUGUGUGAAGAAGGCCUUUUGGUUGUAAAGCACUUUAAGCAGUGAAGAAGACCUAACGGUUAAUACCCGUUAGCGAUGACAUUAGCUGCAGAAUAAGCACCGGCUAACUCUGUGCCAGCAGCCGCGGUAAUACAGAGGGUGCAAGCGUUAAUCGGAAUUACUGGGCGUAAAGCGAGCGUAGGUGGCUUGAUAAGUCAGAUGUGAAAUCCCCGGGCUUAACCUGGGAACUGCAUCUGAUACUGUUAGGCUAGAAUAGGUGAGAGGAAGGUAGAAUUCCAGGUGUAGCGGUGAAAUGCGUAGAGAUCUGGAGGAAUACCGAUGGCGAAGGCAGCCUUCUGGCAUCAUAUUGACACUGAGGUUCGAAAGCGUGGGUAGCAAACAGGAUUAGAUACCCUGGUAGUCCACGCCGUAAACGAUGUCUACUAGUCGUUGGGUCCCUUGAGGACUUAGUGACGCAGCUAACGCAAUAAGUAGACCGCCUGGGGAGUACGGCCGCAAGGUUAAAACUCAAAUGA
rnacentral:rRNA from 1 species